GUCAAAGCUUCGUUUGGUGGUCCAUCCGCCAUUUCCCCGACUGCCUCGUCUACGAUACUUUUCUGGUGCUUGCACAUUGUCUACGGAGAGGUCUUCUCUGCUCCAAUGGAACAUCUUCAUUCGCGCUACCAAGCCCUCUGGUGGCAGCGGUUUCCCG
rnacentral:ribozyme from 1 species